rnacentral:rRNA from 1 species
AGGACUAACGCUGGCGGCGUGCCUAACACAUGCAAGUCGAACGAGAGUAGCAAUACUCUAGUGGCAGACGGGUGAGUAACACGUGGUCAACCUACCUCUAUGUGGGGGGAUAACUAGCCGAAAGGUUAGCUAAUACCGCAUACGAUCGUCGAGCGGCAUCGCUUGACGAUGAAAGGAGCAAUCCGCAGAGAGACAGGACCGCGUCCCAUUAGCUAGUUGGUGGGGUAAUGGCCUACCAAGGCGACGAUGGGUAGCUGGCUUGAGAGAGCGACCAGCCACACUGGGACUGAGACACGGCCCAGACUCCUACGGGAGGCAGCAGUGAGGAAUUUUCCGCAAUGGGCGAAAGCCUGACGGAGCGACGCCGCGUGUGGGAAGAAGGCCUUCGGGUCGUAAACCACUGUCGAAGGGGAAGAGUAUUGACGGUACCUUGGAGGAAGCCCGGCUAACUACGCGCCAGCAGCCGC